rnacentral:lncRNA from 1 species
GUGCGUAUACAAUAGCGAGUCAGUUGGGAUGGACUGCUAUAGAAUACCAUUUCCGCUCAUUCCAGAUUAUGAAUUCAGAGCCUAAUUUUCUGUAAAUUGUCAUUCUUGUCUGGUAAGGAAAGCUAAUUUUUUCCUCAUAUGGAAAAAACCCCACCACCACCAUCAUCCUGGGCCCCGCUCCUGGGAACAGGGCCUGCCGUGCCGGGUGGAGGCCUUCUGUUCCUGGGUUCAAUGGGAGGCGUCCACGUUGCAGUGCUUACUGAGUGCCUCGUGUGCAGGGCCCUCUUCCAGGCCCUGUGCUCACGGCGAUGCUGAGGUCCCUCCCGUGGGGAGAAGCAGGCAAUAACGAAGGGACGAAGGGAAGGAGCGAUCACUGCUACAGAGGAAGGAAAUCAGAGUGACUGGAAGCGGCUAGUCAGGGAAGGCUCUGGCGAGGGACUCUGGAGCCCAGCAGCCUGACAAGAAGGGGCCAGCUCGGGGGAGACAGCCAGCAGAUGGUCCCCAAGUGGUGGCAGAGAGGCUGUCGGCAGCUCCAGGUUUAACCUCCUGUCAGCUGAGGAGAGGACUUGCUCAGAUGAGAGUCCUCCUGGGCGUCCAGGACAAACGAGGACAGGGUAGGCUGCUUGGCUGGCUCUGGGGAUGCCCCUCAGCUCACUGCCCCCUUCCCCUUGGACUUGGCAGGUAGCCCCUGAGAGGGCUCUGGAGACCACACCUGCAGUCCCUGCCUCCCCCGAUGUCCCACCUGUCUGUCCCUGCUCCCUCUGCUGAUGACCCUGCGCCAGCCCCCUCAGCGGUGAUGAAGGCCUGGGCCACGGCUGCCUCUGGACAUGGCACAGGCGUCCUGCCUGGGGGGCGGCCCUAGAAAUGUGACAUUCUCCUGGCCCACUGGGCUGAGAGUCCACCACGGCCCUCACGCUCCCAUGGUGGAGGGCGUUUAAUAUGGGGAAGUGCACGUGGUCCGCCUGCCCACUAAAGCAGACACCCAGAGCCCCCACCCUCCUCUGUGCUCUUUCGAGGCAGACCAGUGUGCUCAUCAAGAGUGCAGGCUCCGGGGCAGAUGGCCCGGUUACUGGCUGUGUGACCCUGGACGGUUCCUCAGCCCCUCUGUGCCUCAGUAUCCUUGUCAGGGAGGUAGGGAAAUAAUGCUGGUGCUGCUGUGAAGACUCAAGGAAGCAGGGCAGGGGCUCUGGACACGCUAGCUGUGAUCGUACGGACGGCUGUUUGUGGGGCCGUGCUGGCCCGGAGUUUGGUUGCAGGUGACAGGAAUGGACUCCAGCCAUCUCAGACAGGAGGGCAUGCCUGGGGAGAGCUCCCUUUCCUGCCGUGUCUCACUCCAGCCUUGGCCCUGAGAGUGGGUGUGUGGUCAGCCCGCCCUGCCAUGUGGGGGACCAGGCGGGGGAGUCAGCUCUGAGUGAAGGGGCAGCAAGGGGCCGGCGAGGGCCUGCCCUCUUCCGAGACUGUCCCUGUGAAGACACACCAAGCCGGCGGCUUUCGGCAGACCCAACCCCACACCGUGCGUCCACGCUGUUUGAUUUGAAAGCCCUUUUCCCACACACUGCUGAGCUCAGCUGGCACCAGGGUGGUGGACUGCAGGUGCACGGACAGGGAGCCGGAGGCUCGAGUCCUCGGGGCUGGCUAGGAUCCUGGCACUGGCCCCUGAGAGUCCCGUCUGUGCCCUGUGUGAACUGGGCAGGCCUUCGGGGCAGUGAGACAGCCUCAAGUCCUGGCGGUCAAUCCACGACAUGCUCGGUGUCCUGGCUGCAUCCCCUCACCUCUGGGCGCCAGCUCCAGGGUCGAGCGCACAUCCUUGGCAAGGGCACCUCGCUUAAGGAAUGUGGGCCAAGGCCAGCAGCGGCCUGCCACGAGGAGGGGCAACCCUG